rnacentral:rRNA from 1 species
CGGACGGGUGAGUAACACGUGAGCAACCUGCCUUUUCAGAGGGGGGAUAACGGUUUGGAAACGAACGCUAAUACCGCAUAAAAAUAUCGGAGUCGCAUGGCACUGAUAUCAAAGGAGCAAUCCGCUGAAAGAUGGGCUCGCGUCCGAUUAGGCAGUUGGCGGGGGUAACGGCCCACCAAACCGACAAUCGGUAGCCGGACUGAGAGGUUGAACGGCCACAUUGGGACUGAGACACGGCCCAGACUCCUACGGAAGGCAGCAG